AUUUUCCAAAACGAAUGCAUUAUUGAAAAUCAGUUUCUUCGUUUGGCUUUGUGUGUAUGGUUGUUAAUCAAUUACAAAUGUCUAAAUAGCAAUUAACGUAAUUAAAUGGCAAAUCGUUCAAUGUAAAAGAAGACGACAAUUUAAAGUGUUUUGAAUAAUAUGCUUGGUAAACUUUUUGUUGCAAUUAAACUAAAUUGGCCAAAAUUCUUAAGUCUUCGCCUAUUGAAGACGCAGCAAAGCAACAAGAAAGAGAGGGUGAGAGAGAGAGAGAGAUAGAACUACAGACAAAUGCAUAUUAAGUUUGUGGCAAGUUGCAACAGAUCCAGGAGGCGAGCAAAAGUUUGUUUUUUAUUAUGCAAAGCACGAUGGCUUAUGAAGCGACAGCCAGCCGCCCGCUGAAUAUCCUUUACUGGAGUGCGAAUAAAGGCAAACACAGAUAAAUCCAUUAUAAACGCACGUUUGCACACACAAAGGCAGCUGAAGAAAAUGAGAGACUGAGAGACAGGCAAAAGGGAUAUACAGCGAAAGAACAAGAGAAUUGCCAAACAAUGUUGCAAGCUCUUUAAGCAACAUUUCUCGCUCUUGUGCCUUUAAGGACACUUCUCUUGCUUGCAUUCGGGUUAUGUGUGGUAUGGGAUAAAUUGCGCAGCGGCUGCUUCAUUAAAAUGAUAAACACGCACGCGAUGCCAAUGUGCUGCCGGCCGCAUGUCCUUGCCGCAAGCGGCUUGCAAUUGCGGCCAAUCCAACAACAACCGGAACAAUGGCAACAGCAGCAGCAGCAGCAGCAGCAGCAGCAGCAGCGGCAGCAAGAAACACGCCUGGCGCACUUCCAACAAUAAGCAACAAUUUUAGCAGCCGCCAAAGCUAUUAUCCAGCGCCAGGACCUCGUAGCUGCUUUUUGCUAUGCCUGCCAGGCAGGCAAACAGCCAAACAGCCAGACAGACAGCCAGAGAGCCAACCAGGCUGGCAAGCAGGCACAAAUUGUUUUUUACACAUGUGCGCGCAACAUAUUAAAUUGUAAACAUGCAUAAAUGUUGUUUAUUGGGCAGCGCCGAGAACCAAACAAAACAAUAGCGAGACAGAAAAGAAAACAAUGCACCAAUAUUGAACAGCCCAAAGUUACCCUGUACUCAGCUUUGAUCUUAAAAAACACAAACACAUUAAGGACUACGCCUUGCUUAUUCUUUCAACUUUAACUAAAGUAGCUAUCUAAAGAUGUAUAUAUUAAGUCACAGAUAAAGAACGUAUCUAUGAAAAGUUCGUAUAUGAAAACAAUUGGCCAAACUGCAUUGAUUAUUAUAGGGCAUACAAAUGGGCAAAUAAUAUGUGAGAAUGCAAGCGCUACACUCGACUCGACUCGAUUUCGACUACUUGGCAGGGCAGUUGAGAGAAGCGAACGACUGUGGAGCGUGUGCCAAAAACAAUUUUAUGUUGCUUGAUGACGUUUGGAGCGUGCUGUGCGCUCCUUGAGGCUUAGCGAAAGUGUAUCCUGUCAAAGGAUAUUAUGCAACGAAAUUAUUGUAGUUGGCACCAAGCAAAAAGUUUGCCAAAAAAAACGAAUAAUAAAAUACAAACAUAAACAGAGGCUCGGCGACUGCGGCGAGUAAGCUGCCAAAAGUCCUGCUGAGCCCAGACCAACUGGCAUGUGUGAAACCAGGCAAAUGGCUCUGUAUGUGUGUAUCUGUGGUUGGAGAGGUGCAGGGAUGUGUGCUGCGGGGUGCAAGCGGUGCUACAAAUGCGACAAAUGAGCGCCGCAUUAGCGUCACCAAAAGUGCGACCGCCAUUUAAAUGCACAAGGGCAGCAAAAAAAAUAAUAAUAUUAAAAAAAUCCGUUGUAAUUAUUUUGCGCACAUUUUGACAAGGACUAGCCACAACGCUCGACAGGAUAUUAGCAGCAAAAUGCAAAGAGAGAAAAGGCCUCAAAACUGCAAAUCAAAAAUAACAAAAGCUCGUCAACAUAACGAAAUAAUUCUGAGCAAAUCUCUUGCAAAUCGGCUUAAAAUUUGCAAUAUGCAGCUAGAGAAAGCUUUGAGAUAAACGCGUUUCAUCAAAGGACAACAUAAAUAAAAAGAAAUGUGUCAAUAAAUGCUAUAACAUAUA